rnacentral:rRNA from 1 species
AGUGAACGCUGGCGGCAUGCCUAAUACAUGCAAGUCGAACGACAACACAAUAAGCUUUCGCCUCUACCGUUAGCGAGGGGCGGGUGGGUGAGGCAUACAUAGGCUACUUCUAUUUCUUGGGUGAUUACGUAAGGCCGCAUCCGCUACUACCUCAUAUGUUCAACGGCUGGAAUCAGGGGAUCUUCGGGCCUUGCGCGUUUGUUAUAGCUGAGGUCGCAUUAGCUAGUUGGUGAGGUAAAGGCACACCAAGGCAACGAUGCGUAGCUGAUCUGAGAGGAUGAUCGGCCACACUGGAACUGAGACACGGUCCAGACUCCUACGGGAGGCAGCAGUAGGGAAUAUUGGACAAUGGGCGCAAGCCUGAUCCAGCCAUGCCGCGUGAGUGAAGAAGGCCUUCGGGUUGUAAAGCCCUGUUAUUGGGGAAGAAAAACAGCGUAUUAAUACCUCGCUGUUCUGACGGUACCCAAAGAAUAAGCACCGGCUAACUUCGUG